rnacentral:ncRNA from 2 species
GCGGUACGCGCGGGAGAGAGUGGGAAACCGCCGCCGAAGGAGCAACCGCCCCGGAAUCUCUCAGGCACCAGGGACCGCGCGUGGCCC